rnacentral:rRNA from 1 species
CCAGUACGGCGAGUGAAGCGGCAACAGCUCAAAUUUGAAAUCUGGCUCUCGGGCCCGAGUUGUAAUUUGUAGAGGAUGCUUUUGGUGAGGUGCCUUCCGAGUUCCCUGGAACGGGACGCCAUAGAGGGUGAGAGCCCCGUCUGGUUGGACACCGAUCCUCUGUAAAGCUCCUUCGACGAGUCGAGUAGUUUGGGAAUGCUGCUCUAAAUGGGAGGUAUAUGUCUUCUAAAGCUAAAUACCGGCCAGAGACCGAUAGCGCACAAGUAGAGUGAUCGAAAGAUGAAAAGAACUUUGAAAAGAGAGUUAAAAAGUACGUGAAAUUGUUGAAAGGGAAGCGCUUGUGACCAGACUUGGGCUUGGUUGAUCAUCCGGGGUUCUCCCCGGUGCACUCUUCCGGCUCAGGCCAGCAUCAGUUCGCCCUGGGGGAUAAAGGCUUCGGGAAUGUGGCUCUCUCCGGGGAGUGUUAUAGCCCGCUGCGUAAUACCCUGUGGCGGACUGAGGUUCGCGCAUUCGCAAGGAUGCUGGCGUAAUGGUCAUCAGUGACACGUCUUGACACCGGGGAAACACAAA